CAAAGGAGCAAUCCGCUGAAAGAUGGGCUCGCGUCCGAUUAGGUAGUCGGUGAGGUAACGGCCCACCAAGCCGACGAUCGGUAGCCGGACUGAGAGGUUGGACGGCCACAUUGGGACUGAGACACGGCCCAGACUCCUACGGGAGGCAGCAGUAAGGGAUAUUGGUCAAUGGGGGAAACCCUGAACCAGCAACGCCGCGUGAGGGAAGACGGUUUUCGGAUUGUAAACCUCUGUCCUCUGUGAAGAUGAUGACGGUAGCAGAGGAGGAAGCUCCGGCUAACUACGUGCCAGCAGCCGCGGUAAUACGUAGGGAGCGAGCGUUGUCCGGAUUUACUGGGUGUAAAGGGUGCGUAGGCGGCUGUGCAAGUCAGUAGUGAAAUCCAUGGGCUUAACCCAUGAACUGCUAUUGAAACUGCACAGCUUGAGUGAAGUAGAGGUAGGCGGAAUUCCCGGUGUAGCGGUGAAAUGCGUAGAGAUCGGGAGGAACACCAGUGGCGAAGGCGGCCUACUGGGCUUUAACUGACGCUGAGGCACGAAAGCGUGGGUAGCAAACAGGAUUAGAUACCCUGGUAGUCCACGCUGUAAACGAUGAUUACUAGGUGUGGGGGGACUGAACCCUUCC
rnacentral:rRNA from 1 species